AGUGAUAGAUUUUUUGGGUGUACUAAUAGCAGUAAUGAUGAUAAUAAUACUAUUCAUGAUAAUACUUAUGUUUUUAUGAAUGAAAUUAGAAGUCAGGGGAGUGAAGUGUGGACAUUUUUGUGGAGUUGCACCAGAGUGAGUUAAGAGAUUGCAAAGAGAAAGCAAGAAAGAAAAGAGAGAGAGAGAGAAAGGAGAAAGUUGAAGGGAGACUGCAAAUGGUUGUGGUGAUAGUGGGAUUAGAAUGAAAUAAUGUGGUGUCAUUUGUUUAAGUA